rnacentral:rRNA from 1 species
AGAUUGAACGCUGGCGGCAGGCCUAACACAUGCAAGUCGAGCGGCAGCACGGGUACUUGUACCUGGUGGCGAGCGGCGGACGGGUGAGUAAUGCCUAGGAAUCUGCCUGGUAGUGGGGGAUAACGCUCGGAAACGGACGCUAAUACCGCAUACGUCCUACGGGAGAAAGCAGGGGACCUUCGGGCCUUGCGCUAUCAGAUGAGCCUAGGUCGGAUUAGCUAGUUGGUGAGGUAAUGGCUCACCAAGGCGACGAUCCGUAACUGGUCUGAGAGGAUGAUCAGUC